rnacentral:rRNA from 1 species
UACGAAGGGGGCGAGCGUUGUCCGGAAUUAUUGGGCGUAAAGGGCUCGUAGGCGGUUUGUCGCGUCGGGAGUGAAAAUCCAGGGCUUAACUCUGGACUGGCUUCCGAUACGGGCAGACUAGAGGUAUGCAGGGGAGAACGGAAUUCCUGGUGUAGCGGUGAAAUGCGCAGAUAUCAGGAGGAACACCGGUGGCGAAGGCGGUUCUCUGGGCAUUACCUGACGCUGAGGAGCGAAAGUGUGGGGAGCGAACAGG